CGGUGUGCGACAGCGUAUUACACUGAGGAAAGUUACGUGCAAAGGAGAGUGUGUGGAUAAGAAGAAGUGAGGACCGAGAGGAGGAGGACGUAAGAAGCGAUACAAAGCGUUAUAGGACAAAAAAAAGAAGAAAAGAAGGUCAGAGCUUUGUAACGGCACCUCCGGGGAAAAUAAACAACAACAAACAACUCUCACUGCUUCCACCUCUCGUCCAUUCGUGCCUCCACUCAGCCCAGCAGCAGCAGCAUCCACUCUCCUCCAGUCCUCUCCCAACAAUGCUGUCCACGCCCUCAACACUCAAUAGUGCACAGUAUUUCACGGGUGGACUAUUGCACGUGACACCGGUCAGCUGGGCAGGAUCUACCCUACUCCCUGCCCCGGGGACACACAUCUCGACAACAACGGCAGUAGCAAGCAGCCUGUGGUGGUCCCACGGCCUAACCAGCAGCAGCUAAUACACUGCUGGAGAAUAACAAACGAGCCAUGGCAACGCUGCAGUCUGGCACUGCUGGCGCCGGUGGUGACGGCAGCAACAAUGAGACAGAGGCAAGCCAGAGUGGAGGAGAAGGCCAGCCCAGUGACCCUAAGCAAAAGGCCCCCCUUCGGACAAUCACGGUCGUGUUCGGCGGCGUCAUCCUGGACCUGCUGGGGUUCACCACUAUGCUGCCGUUGCUCCCCGCGCUGCUCGACUACUACCAGCACAACGACUCCAGCGGCCUCUACGCAUCGCUCCUCACCUCCGUCACCCCAUUCCAGCACCUCAUCGGAGUGCCCUCAAAGUUCAACUCAGUCUUGCUGGGAGGCUUGUUGGGCUCCCUGUUCUGGCUGGUGCAGUUCCUCUCCUCUCCCCUCACCCAUGCUCUCUCGGAUGUCUACGGCAGGAAGCCCAUGUUCCUCGUCAUCUUGGUGGGUAAGGCUGUCUCCUAUGGGCUCUGGGCGGCUGCUAGCACCUUCAGCCUGUUUGUUGUGGCGUGCAUCAUCGGCAGCGCGGCGAAGGGGAGCAUGAGUCUGGGCUACUCCAUCGUGGGCGACACGACGGACACGCAUGCCAGGGCCAGGGGCAGGGCCGUGGUGGGUGUGGCGUACAACAUUGGGUUCACCCUUGGCCCCGUGGUGGGUGCUGCGUUCUCCAGGUGGGGCGACUUGGGCUGGUUUCCCGCCUCCGCCCUCUACGCGCUCGCCCUGACCGUCACCAACAUCACCUUCUUCACUGCCUUCUUCAGGGAGACGCUGCCGCAGAACAAGCGUCGACCCAGCCUUGCCGCCGGUGUGUGCGAGGCGUGGAAGUUUAUCAAUCCCAGGGCUGUCUUCUCCUUCAGCUCUCUCGAGGGGUUCAGCAAGGAAGAGAGGAAUAGAUUGCUGCAAUUCGUGUGGUUCUUCUUCCUGUUCGCGUCCCUUCAGUCGGGCCUUGAGUUCACGCUGCCCUUCAUGACGCACCACAAGCACGGCUACGACUCCUUGGCGCAGGGAUACAUGCUGUCUCUCCUCUACCUGGUCAAGUCCCUCACGCCGGACCGCCUCCUGCUCUUCCGUCUUGCAGACUCGAAGAAGGCCCUGGCUCAUGUGGCGCUGGUGAUGAUGGUUCCGGCCUUCAUCCUCAUAGGGGUCGGCAAGACCAGCGUCGACCUGUACUUUGGCCUCACACUCUACGCCAUUGGCUCCUCCCUCAUGGAGACGUGCCUCCAGGAGUUGUCCCCCCUCAACUUGUCACUUGUGGACGUGCAGAAGAUCUCCUCACUCACGUUGCUGGGCAGGGCAUGCGGGACCUUCGUGAUGGCUGCAGGUUUCUGGUGUCUGGGCGCUGAGGUCUGCUACAUGGUCGGGGGGCUGUCCCUGCUGGUGCCUCUCAUCAUGCUGCGAUGUUGCUGAGGCAGCCUGGCGCUCCUCACACACAGAAACACACCACUGCCAUGGGAGAAGGCUGGCCAGUCAGCCGUCCACUCAUACAGUCACUCGGGCAGUCAGUUAUGCAUUACUUGAAUUCUGUAAAAGCGUUCCACUUUCCUGCACUCGACACAGAUCUCUCCACGUCUCCAACAUAAACUUCUGCAUCAUCUGUGUCUCUGUGGGAGGAAGAAGAGCAGUGGCGUGGUGUUCAUAUGUGUCUAGGAUGGUGCCGGAGACUGUGCUAGGACCAGAGCCAUAGGGUAGGAGAGUUUGCCCAGCUUCAUCACAGGUGCCAUGCUGUUAGGUACCAAUAGAUCCAUGUGAAAUGCAUGUUGAUGGUGACUGUAAUGUUUUGUUGUGCUUUGGGUAUCAUCAGAAUCUCAAAGAAGUACCCAGAGAGCCCCCAAAACUAUCAUAUCAGUAUCAUAUUGGCCAUGCUGUUAGGUGCCAAAAGAUCCAUGUGAAAUGCAUAUUGAUGGUGACUGUAAUGUUUUGUUGUGCUUUGGGUAUCAUUAGAAUCUCAAAGAAGUGCCCAGAGAGCCCCCAAAACUAUCAUAUCAGCAUCAUAUUGGCCAUGCUGUAACCAAAAAAUCCAUGUGAAAUUGAAACUGAUGGUGGUUGUAAUGUUUUCUUUAUGGGUUGGGUAUUGUCAGGAUCAGGAAGCAACACCCAGACAGCCCCCAAAACUAUCAUAUCAGUAUCAUAUUGGCCAUGCUGUAACCAAAAAAUCCAUGUGAAAUUGAAAUUGAUGGUGGUUGUAAUGUUUUCUUUAUGGGUUGGGUAUUGUCAGGAUCAGGAAGAAACACCCAGACAGCCCCCAAAACUAUCAUAUCAGUAUCAUGUUGAGUUUCACGUGGCUCUCUUGGUUACAACAUUCAAGAGUUUAAGGUAGAUAUUCUCAGGCACUGCAUAUAUCGUCACCUUCAUAAGCAAACCGCCUAAGUCAUUAUUUUCUACUUUACAGGAAAUAGAAAAAGAACUGUCAUCAUCUCAUUUGGCUUAAUAUUUAGGCAGAAAUGAAAAGGCCAAUUCUAGAACACUCAAACCCUGAAUGACGAAGGCAACUAUACAAAAACGGGCGUCACGUGUUAAGAAAAUUGAUGUAGACAAAAACCUGGAAAUCGCUGAAAAAUGACUUAGGCGAUUACUUUAUGAGGGUGACGAUAUGUUUUACUUUCAUAUAUAUACUUCUCUUUAUCUUGUAUUUUCACGACUUUUUUGUUCUGCUUCAUUUUUCAUUUUUGUCUGUGAUGAGGAUGGCAACUGUCUCCCAUUCUGUGGCUCUGGUUAGGAAGGCUAGUGUGUGUAUCUCUUGGUCCAGUGUGCCUCUUAUGUCCUGGGUUGUGGGAGGGGAGACUGUCAUAGAUGUAAGUGAUGUGGCUGAGAGUUCCUGUGUCUUAGGUCCAUAUAAAUCCGUCCAUAAAUAUAUCUGUCUCCCAUUAACACUGUUUCCCAAGGCCACAGAGAAGACUGACUGGGUUUUCAUGGGUGUUUUUUCCGUCCAAGAUGCGGAAGCCGUGUCAAACUAUCACCAGCAUCAUGAAACAGUCCAUGAAAACCCAGCAACUUCUUUCAAAGAGGCUUUUCAACAGGCGAACUGAGGCGCCGAUGUGUUAAAAAGUCCGGACUUCUGUGUUAUAUUGGAGAUGAAUGUGGAGCGUGUAAUGAGUGGUUUGUAUAAUUAGUGACCAAUUUAUACUGCUGUUUGUUAUAGUAGUAAUAGACACAUGGAAAGAGUGCUAAUUUUUCACAGUAAAGAAAGUGUUUAUGCUACCUACUGUUGUUACUCCACAUGGAGAGAGAAACAGAACAAUAGGAAAAGCAAUGCAAAGAAAGAAAGACUGUGUUUCAGUGUUGUUAUUGCUGUGUAGGGAAGGAAUGUAUGCAAGAAAACAACUUAGAGAAAAAAGUAUUAUUGUUAUUGUUAUUUCACAUGGAGAGAAAACAAAUCCAAGAAAACAAUGCAAAGAAAGUGUCAAUGUUCUGCUGCUAAGAAAGUGCUGUUGUUCCGCUGAUGUUACUGUACGAAGAACAAAAUAUUUUGUCACCAUAAACAAAA